CGGAGGGUGCGUCGCUGGUGCGGCUAGCGAACUUUAAACUCGCGAAACGUCCUGUCAGGGAUUGGGUUCGAUUCCUACACCCUCCGUCCA
rnacentral:tRNA from 1 species